AGGGGUCUGGGGCGUAGGAUGGGCCGCUUUUUCCUGCGGCUCUCUUGGCCGCGGGAGUCAGAGCUAACAUAGGGUCAUGGGGAAGGGAGAAAUGAAGUGGAUUAGUCUAGAGCUCCUUGAUAUCACCUCAGCUCCAAGAACGUGCAACCUGUGACAGCACACCCAAUGCCACCCCUGGAAUCUUGGUGUCUCUAGACGCGGCUCAAAGGCAUCCCGCCCCACCUCCCACAGCACUAGGGCCCUGUGACGUCACACGGGACUCUGGCAAGAUAAGCCAGGGCUCCGCCAAGUCUACAGCGGUAUCUCAUUUGUGCAGUUCGAUGACGUCACAGACGGGCGGUGAUACUACGGCUCCCACAUUUCCCGGCCCCGCCUUGCGAAUCCGGCCAGAAACGCGCGGAGAAUUCGUUCGUUCCCGUACAAGAGAGUCCUGAGACCCGAAUCGUUGGUAGGUGCCCCGAGUGAGGGAGAGCGCCCCGCGGCGCUCCCCUCCGGAAUCUCGUGGCUUAGAACGCUCUCCCAGCCCGGAGGGUUUCAGUGCACCCGCUGCAGCAGGAUACUAGCCCCGCCCACGUUGCCCAGUCCAACCCGCCGCUCCCAGCACUGCGCAUGCUCUGCGCGCAGGCGCAGAAGGAACUCGUCGCCCAGCCCAGCGGGCCCUGGAGUUCACCUUCCCGCGGCGGUAGUGGGCAGUAGACGCGGACUGCUGUGUCCCGCUUUCAGGUGUAACGAACGCAGAGUACCACUGGCCCAGCGGGCGCAUCCUACUAUCGGCGUUUGUGAGCACUAGAGAUGUUAACGCCGAAGAGGGCAGCUCUGGGUUAACGCGGGCUAGAGACCCUUGGAGUCCCUGUGGUGCCUCGAAUCCAGUGCUGCCCUGGUCCGACGGAGGUCCGUGGGAUUCGAGCUGAGAGGGAUGGUGCGGCCCGCCCCUGCCCUAGAUCCAGUGCGGCCCAAUCUUUUCGACAGGGCCUUUGAGGCAGAGGUCUUGGUCUCCUGUCCAGCGGAUUCGUGGAGGCACAGGCUUGGUCACCCACCCCGCCCUUUCAGCCUGGCUUUCUGGGCCGCUGUGAGAGCCAGACUGAUGGUUGGGCCCAGUUUGCAUAUGUUUCAGAUGAAAAAUUCACUAUGGGCGUGAGAUAGGACGAGGGGGUCAAACCUCAUGUCAGUGGCAGAGGACGAAUUCAAAGUUGCGUUGCCUUUGAGGCAAGGGAUUCGAAGACCCAGUUGUAGCUUUUCCUGCCACUUACAAGGUCAAAGUCAUACAUAUUUUCUCAGUGAUUUAUUCACCACUAGAACCAACAACUGGGCCCUAAUGUGUUGCAGAACAACUUUGGCAUUUAUGAAACACCAUGUAAACGUAUUAGAAAUGCUUUUCUCAGCGUCCUGAAGUAGCCUGCCUCCCAAGCUGCCUUAUUCCUAAGAGAAACUUCUUCCCGUCUUUACUUUCUCAUCACUCAGAGAUAAUGAAAUGGAAUGGAAGAAGGAAAUCACCUGGACUGGUGGUCAUGGAACUUCCUAGAAAACUUGAAAGAAGCCACCUUUAACUGCAUGGAGACAAAUGGAUAAAUCAGUUCACAGAUUAUUGUUAUAUUUGGUUGAGAGAGGAAGGUGGGAGACAAAAUACCAUAUAGGGGGACACAGCAAGAAGACAGCCAUCUACAAACCAGGAAGACGACUCUCAUGAGACACUGGAUCUCUUGACACCUUGAUCUUGGACUUCCAGGCUCCAGAACUGUGAGAGGUUGCAGGCUCCUCGAGGACCCGGGCCAGUUCUGUUUGUCUCAGCUCUCCCUAUGUCUUUGACGGCACCUGAGCCCGUGAACAUGUUCCUAGCCGAGCGGGAAGCUUGAGAGCCUUGGCCCAAUUAAGGCCAAGUGAGGAAAACUUCAUGCGAAAACAAGUUUUCUGUUAACUAGCUGUUUCUUGAAAAAGCCUCCUUCCGAUCAUUUGAGAACCAUGUGUGUAAAUUGAAGUAGGAGGAACUGUCCAUUGCCUGAGUGAUAGGGGCUGGCUGGAAGGGACUUUUUCAGAAAAAGGAACAGCAGCUUUGCUCUGGCAAAUCCUAUAUUACUUUUUCAAAUAAUAAUCUGCUAGUAUGAAGACUAUACCUUUUACUUCCAUUUUGCCUUGUGUUUAAAUGAAACAUUUAAAAUGACAUUCUUGAAAAUUGAGAAGGCAAAUAAAGCAGUCCUGCUAAUUUAAUGAAGACCAACCUGUAAAUGUAAUUUUAUGUCACCCACUCACGGAGGAACCUGGUAACUAGAGGGAAAGGAGGGGGCACAGGUGUGUGAUGACUCAUCCCAAGAGUUCAGGACUUUUCCUAGUUUUCUAGAGCAUGCAGGGUCUCUGCAGAGGAGGGGGGCUCUGCUAUUCAGGAAUGAGCCAGAAACCUUAGCCCUGUGAAUUGUCCCUUCCAAUUGUCUUGUCUGUCUCCACGAUGAGACUGGAGAAUGGCGUGGCUGUCAGAAAGCACUCAUCCGCCUGGGUUGGUGAACAUCUCCCUCUGGUACUCUGUGCCAAGAAGUCCGUAUUGAAGGCAAAUCCGAUGCCCUCUGUGGUAUGCGGCCUAUCUACAAAGCUGGUCAGAGUGCAGCAAGGGGAGGGCGGGUCUGUCCUCCCGGGCGUCCUUUCUGUAAUCCCCUUGUCACAGCCACCUCCGAAGGCUGCUCGCCUGGACAGAGGGGCCGUGAUGGGCAGCCUGUCAGAUAGCUUGUGAGUGCAUUAGCAGGAUUAGCGGAGAAGGCUAAUGUUGCAGCGUUCCCCAAGUUCAUUCACAGCACCUGAGACUGCGCCGUUCAGCUGCUACACUGGGCAGCACAGGCUCCGGAAUUCACGUCACAUCAAGGACUGGCCCUGAAAUGGUCAGACACACAACAGCCCCACGCGUUUGAAUUGGGUUUAUGUAUUAUUAUUUCACAACAGAGCUUAAUUUAUAAUAGUAGUCUAAAGAUGCUAAGUAUCCUUUUUUCCAUCUGAUUGAUAAAC